AUGGUUAAGUUAGAAAGGGCGCACGGUGGAUGCCUUGGCACUAGGAGCCGAAGAAGGACGGGACUAACACCGAUAUGCUUUGGGGAGCUGUACGUAAGCGUUGAUCCAG
rnacentral:rRNA from 1 species